UACGUAGGGUCCGAGCGUUGUCCGGAAUUAUUGGGCGUAAAGGGCUCGUAGGCGGUUUGUCGCGUCGGGAGUGAAAACUCAGGGCUCAACCCUGAGCGUGCUUCCGAUACGGGCAGACUAGAGGUAUUCAGGGGAGAACGGAAUUCCUGGUGUAGCGGUGGAAUGCGCAGAUAUCAGGAGGAACACCGGUGGCGAAGGCGGUUCUCUGGGAAUUACCUGACGCUGGAGGAGCGAAAGCAUGGGGAGCGAACAGG
rnacentral:rRNA from 1 species